UACGUAGGGUGCGAGCGUUAAUCGGAAUUACUGGGCGUAAAGCGUGCGCAGGCGGUGAGCUGUGUCCGAUGUGAAAGCCCCGGGCUUAACCUGGGAAUGGCAUUGGAAACUGGCUCGCUGGAGUGUGGCAGAGGGGGGUGGAAUUCCGCGUGUAGCAGUGAAAUGCGUAGAGAUGCGGAGGAACACCGAUGGCGAAGGCAGGUCUCUGGGCCACUACUGACGCUGAGAAGCGAAAGCAUGGGGAGCGAACAGG
rnacentral:rRNA from 1 species